rnacentral:lncRNA from 1 species
UCUCUCUCUCUCUCUCUCUCUCUCUCGCUCCCUCUCUCUCCCUGUUCUCUCUCUCUCCCUGUUCUCUCUCUCUCCCUGUUCUCGCUCUCUCUCUUUAUCUAUCUCUCUUUAUCUCUCUCUCUCUCUCUUUAUCCUUCUCUUCUUCACAUACUGUUGCUCUCUGCUGACCAAAGUACUUUCAUAGUCCUAACCUACCCUCCGCCCUAGGACCAUGCCUCAGGACUACCUGACAUGAUGACUCCUUGCUGUCCCCAGUCCACCUGGCCGUGCUGCUGCUCCAGUUUCAACUGUUCUGCCUGCGGCUAUGGAACCCUGACCUGUUCACCGGACGUGCUACCUGUCCCAGACCUGCUGUCCUAGACCUGCUGGAACCCUGACCUGUUCACCGGACGUGCUACCUGUCCCAGACCUGCUGUUUUCAACUCUCUAGAGACAGCAGGAGCGGUAGAGAUACUCUCAAAGAUCGGCUAUGAAAAAGCCAACUGACACUUAUUCUUGUGUUACUGACUUGUUUCACCCUCGACAACUACUAUGAUUAUUAUUAUUUGACCAUGCUGGUCAUUUAUGAACAUUUGAACAUCUUGGCCAUGUGCUGUUAUAAUCUCCACCCGGCACAGCCAGAAGAGGACUAGCCACCCCUCAUAGCCUGGUUCCUCUCUAGGUUUCUUCCUUGGUUUUGGCCUUUCUAGGGAGUUUUUCCUAGCCACCGUGCUUCUACACCUGCAUUGCUUGCUGUUUGGGGUUUUAGGCUGGGUUUCUGUACAGCACUUUGAGAUAUCAGCUGAUGUAAGAAGGGCUAUAUAAAUACAUUUGAUUUUGAAAUUUGAUUUGAUAACAGCAGAGCAAUGUUUUUAAAACAGCUAAAAUGUAUAGACAUUUUCAUUAUAUUUGUUUUUAUUUAGUUUUCACCUGGAAUUUUAGUAACAGUCUGUUACAUUCUGAAACUGUCGCUGUAGCUUUGAGAACAUGUUUGUGUACUUGAUUGACAUUUUACUGCAUUGUUAG